UGGGGAAUAUUGGACAAUGGGCGAAAGCCUGAUCCAGCCAUGCCGCGUGAGUGAUGAAGGCCCUAGGGUUGUAAAGCUCUUUCACCGGUGAAGAUAAUGACGGUAACCGGAGAAGAAGCCCCGGCUAACUUCGUGCCAGCAGCCGCGGUAAUACGAAGGGGGCUAGCGUUGUUCGGAAUUACUGGGCGUAAAGGGCGCGUAGGCGGCCUGUUAAGUCAGACGUGAAAUCCCUCGGCUCAACCGGGGAACUGCGUCUGAUACUGGCGGGCUUGAAUUCGGGAGAGGGAUGUGGAAUUCCAGGUGUAGCGGUGAAAUGCGUAGAUAUCUGGAGGAACACCGGUGGCGAAGGCGGCAUCCUGGACCGACAUUGACGCUGAGGCGCGAAAGCCAGGGGAGCAAA
rnacentral:rRNA from 1 species